UCUUUCUCCGAAAACACUGCGCCACGUCUCUGAUUCCUCCGUUUUAAUAGGUUGGGAAUUGCUCUUCCGGCUUCAUCUUUGUUUCCCUCUCAACAUUGCCUUUUUUGCCUCUUCUUUUUACCAGGUUUUGAUAUUAUCGGACUUGGAAGAUGACUAUAUGAACCCUUUUGAUGCCUCGUCUCGAGUCGAUUACUUCGUGAUUCCCGAGUUUAUUGGGCAGGGAUUACUCUGUGUUCUUUGCCUCCUCACAGAUCAUUGGAUCAUGUUCUUGCUCACACUUCCUCUUGCUUGCUAUCAUGCCAAUCUGUGUGGUAUGCUUGGUUGUUCGCUCUUGAAAGGAUAUAGACUAUUACAAGUACGCUCAAACAACACUAUGGAAGUUGAACAGAUAUAUCAGCGAGAAAGAUGGAACGGAAACGGUGGUUGGUUAGCCUUUCGGCGGCCAUCUGGAUAAUUUGACUAGAAAGAAAUGAUAGAAUCUUUAAAAAUCAAUGUUCAAGUGUGGUGGAUAUUAUUAACAGAUUCUUUACAAGUUAUGAUGAGUGAAUUGGUGGUGAAUCCUAUGGUUGUCGAUGACAAUACCAAACAUGACUACGAAUUGUUAUUUUUAGUGUUAUGAGUUUUUAUUUCUUUUCUUUUACUCCACCUUUUUAUGUUGAGUUUCUUUACUUCAAAAAAAAGAACAAAGGCCACAACUUUCAUUAAUGGACGAAUGAGCCAAUUUCUGUGGCUAGGGUAGCAAUAGUAAAUGGGGAGAAUUUGGGCAAUGUUGGAAAAAGAAUUAGCCAAGCGACAUUUAGAUACAAAAACUAAUUAUAAAAUUAAGCAGACAUAAAUGAAAAA